ACAACAAGUUGACAGGGACAAAGGACGGUGAGCCGCCGAGUUCUAAGCAAUUGGGACUACCUGCACAACUGGCC
rnacentral:ncRNA from 12 species